rnacentral:rRNA from 1 species
UACGGGGGGGGCAAGCGUUGUUCGGAAUUACUGGGCGUAAAGGGUUUGUAGGUGGCUUGCUAAGUCAGACGUGAAAUCCCUCAGCUUAACUGGGGAACUGCGUCUGAGACUGGCAAGCUCGAGUGCAGGAGAGGAACGCGGAAUUCCCGGUGUAGCGGUGAAAUGUGUAGAGAUCGGGAGGAACACCGGUGGCGAAGGCGGGUCUCUGGGCAAUUCCUGACGCUGAGGCGCGAAAGCGUGGGGAGCAAACGGG